UACGGAGGGUGCAAGCGUUAUCCGGAUUCACUGGGUUUAAAAGGGUGCGUAGGCGGGAUAGGUAAAGUCCGUGGUGAAAUCCUGCAGCUUAACUGCAGAACUGCCGUGGAUACUAUCUAUCUUGAAUGUCGUGGAGGUUAGCGGAAUAUGUCAUGUAGCGGUGAAAUGCUUAGAUAUGACAUAGAACACCCAUUGCGAAGGCAGCUAACUACGCGAUAAUUGACGCUGAUGCACGAAAGCGUGGGGAUCAAACAGGA
rnacentral:rRNA from 1 species